UCCUACGGGGGGCAGCAGUGGGGGAUAUUGCACAAUGGGGGGAACCCUGAUGCAGCGACGCCGCGUGGGUGAAGAAGCGCCUCGGCGCGUAAAGCCCUGUCAGCAGGGAAGAUAAUGACGGUAGCAGAGGAGGAAGCUCCGGCUAACUACGUGCCAGCAGCCGCGGUAAUACGUAGGGAGCGAGCGUUGUCCGGAUUUACUGGGUGUAAAGGGUGCGUAGGCGGCCCUGCAAGUCAGAAGUGAAAUCCAUGGGCUUAACCCGUGAACUGCUUUUGAAACUGCAGGACUUGAGUGGAGUAGAGGUA
rnacentral:rRNA from 1 species